rnacentral:misc_RNA from 1 species
GGGCAAGGCAAGAAACUCCAUGACUUUAAGUAUUGCAUUUUCGUCACAUGCAUCUCUAGAUGAUGCUUGCGUGGGACUGCUACCAUCUUCUGAAAUUCUUACACCCGAUGAUUUUGUGACUUGGGAAGAACCAUUGCUGCAACUAUCUGAAUUUGAUUUCAAUAGCCCAGCGGUAGUAGAAAGCAAAGGCGGAUUGACUUCCUUCAACGAAUCAAUCUUUAAGAGACCUUCAAACCGAUCCUUGCACA